rnacentral:tRNA from 1 species
UUUGACUUGGCAGAUUUAAUGCCUUUGACUUAGGAUCAAAUCAUAACGAAAGUUAGUCAAUU